CGAAAAAGAGAAAUUGAGGUUUAGGGUUAUUACCUAUGUGACGUUCCCAAUUCUUCUCCACUCAGCAAACUCAGCGGCGACGGCUGCCUCACUCUUCCUCCGGCUAGAAAUCCGACGAACUCCACCAUGAACCACUAAAUCACUCCGCCUUCGAUUCAUUCUCGUGCUCACUUUGUCAAUUCAACAGAUAAUCGUUUUCAAAAACCUUCCACUCGAGCCCCAAAUUGGAAACCCUAGGAACUAAGGUGAUGAUGAAACUGAUCUGAAGUGCAGAAAGAGGUGAAGGUUGAGAAAUCCAGAGACGGUGUCCUCGAAGCUUCGUUGCGAAAUAAACGCAAAGUAUGAAGACGAGCUACGAUUUCAGUGCAUUGAGGAGAUGCGGUUCAUGAUGACGAUGAAGACGUCAAAGUGCUUGAAGCGGUGAUUUGGUUGGGAAUUGAUUGAAGAUUGUUCUUGAAGAAUUGAUGAUGAGGUGAUGAAUAAGGAUGAAGAUUGAUUGGUGGAUUCGGUUAUGGCUGAGAAUUUUCGGAUUCAGAAGUUUGUUGCUGGUUUUCUUUGGUGAUUGAAGGUGAAGAAGAAUGGUUGAAUGUGAAUAUGGGAACAGAGUGGUGGAGAAAUAUGAAGGUUGUGAAAGUGGUGAAGAUUGAAGCAUCAGGUGAGAAAAAUGGGAGAGAGUGAAGGUGAAUUUGAAGAAUGAAUAGAAAAAUGGUCAAGAACCCCCUGAAUUGGAGGGAAUCCUGAUUUAUAUAGUUUGAAGAUUGCAUGAAUCAUGAUGGAAGGAUGUUGGUAACUUGCAGUGUUCGGGUUUGCGUUGACGCAUAAGUGAUUCCUUCGAAGCAUAGCAAAUCCGGUUCAACAGUGUGUUGCUGUUGUGGUUUAAUGAUGGUGUAAAGAUUAUGUGGUGCAACAUGAGAUAAUGAUGGAAACAAAUAGGAAUCCAAUAUACUUUGUAUAAAUUUUCUCUUUUGCAUUUGUAAUUGGAAAUUGUAGUGGUUUUGAAUGGGAAUUCGUAUCGUUUUCUUCUCCGACUUUGAAAUGAAUACAUUAGAGGUGGAUCAUGUAACCAGUGAAGUGGGAUGUAGCCUUAACUCAAAUUUGUUAAAUUGUAACAUGUAACAUGAGAUCCCCUUGUAUUAUUCUUGAAUAGCAUUUAGGUUCUUCCAUGGACAUUGUGAAUGUAUGAUCUCCUUGUGACUUAGAAUUAUGGUGAAAAAUUUCUUUAACAUAAUGUUCCUCCUUUAUCAACAUAAAUAUGAGUUUUAACUUUCUCUUUCAACACCUUUGACUUGAACAGAAACUAUGCACAUGUAGCCUCUCGGGUCAAUAUUGAAUAUUGCUCAAAAGUGAGCUUGAAAUCCUCGAUACCAAGAGAGAAGUCAUUCCAAUCUUUAAUUUAAUGAACAUUUGUCUUUAAUUUGCAAACCAUGAGUGAUUUGUGCUUCAAGCGACCAAAAUAUUUUGAGAACUUCUUUGAUGCAUAGAGGAACAUCUUGACAUGAAUAAUUCACUAUGAAGAGUCCGAUCUCACUUAAAUUUUCCGAUUCACUUGCAUAAAAUGACAAGCAAACGCCUUUUGAUCACGAUGAACCCUUAAUUGAUAUUAUGUACAUUGAUCUCCUGAAUCCAUGAUGGUUUAAUGAAUGUAUGAUAUGCUGAUGACCUAAUAGAAUGCAAAUGAAAUGAGGAACAUAACCCAGAUGGAUGUAAAAUUGGAUGGGCAAAUUUUGGGGUGCAACAAUAAGUUGAAAGCUUCCUGAAUUUACGAAAGCCCUAGAAAAUGGCCUUUUAAGGUCAAGGCGGUCGCUAUGAAUGAAUCUUCCUCUUCUUCUGUUUGACUUCUGUAGUUUUCUAUUUUAUUUUGUUUUUCAAUCUUUAUUAUGUGUUAUGUACCUUAUCCAUUUU